CCCACAUAAUCCAGGAUGAUCUCUCCAUCUCAAGAUCCUUAAUUUAAUAAGGUAUUCAAAGUCUUUUCUGCCAUGAAGAGUCACUUUCCACCAAUUGACGUUUCUCUUCAUAAUGGAUCACAUUUUAUGCUACUUUGCAUUGCAGACUGCUACACUGCCCUGCAAAACUUAGCCACUUCAGACUUCCUGGACUUCCAGCUCCAUACUCUCAACUCAACAAUCUCCAAG